UUUUUUUUUGUUUAAUAAGCAUUCUCCGAAGGCAAUCAUUCAAGAUUAAAUAUACGGAGGAUUUUCAUUGCUGGGAAAGUAUUGGAUUGGGCUCUUCAAUUCCAUGUUAUAAAGCUCUUUAGAGAUUUCUUUCUUUUAUUUUUAAAACAAUAUUAUUUUGUUUGCAUAUUUGGAGCCUGACGGAAUUGGAUUUUGAGUGCUGACAGUGAAAUCUACCUACUACCUCAUCCACUUUAAUUGUUGUGUAGCUGGCAUUGAUAUUAUAUAUAUUUUUGACAUAAAAAAACUAUGGAAAUCCUGUUCCUUUGUUGAAAGUUAGCCUCUUCAUGAUCUUAUAAGAAUGUGAUAUGCUUUUAGUUACCACAGUGACUUCCUCUUUCGAUAUUUCACAGUUUGUAAUAUUUGUAUACAUUUAGUUGGUAGACCACUUCAGAUCUGUUAAUGCUAUCACUGUCGGGUGCUAGCGUCAUGGGCCCAAACCAAGCCAUAGCUGUAACAUGGCAUGAUGCUUGCCACUGCUUUUUUUCCGGUGUAUAUCUGUUUUGUUAGCAAUAUGUGCUUUGGUCAUUAAUGUUGUAUUUCUAUUUGGUUUUGGUUUCAAAUAGUACCAACUGUUGAAAUUCUUUGAUGAUCAUUAGCACCAUAUCAGUAUCUUCCAUAUCUGCGUUGAUUGCAUUUGAUGGCUUGAAAGAUUAACUUUACUAAUUACGGAGAGAAAAGAAAAGAAAAGGAAAAUUACUGCUACUUUUACUCUCCUUUUGGGGCUUUUUAUAGGAUUACUGUUACUUUUGCUGCUUUUUGAAUUGUGUUUCUUCUGUGAUAUGAUUUUCUUGAGCAGAACCUUUACAUGUGAUUAUGUGUUUGUUGUACUAAGAUGUUGGGCUAUUAGAGCCAUGACUGGUUAUAUUAUAAUUGCUUUGCAUUAAUGGAGCUCCCUCAUUGUAUUGAUGUACAUUGCUCCCCCAUUUCAUUUCUUCCUUCUGAACAUUUGCUCUCUUAAGUGUAAUGUAAUGAACAUCUGAUGAAACAUACAUAUCUGCAUGUGUGCAUAAUGCAUGUUACUUGUAGUUAUCAAAUAAGAAACCACAUACUCUAAUGUAAAAUCAAUUUACAUCAUGAUUAAAUAGUUGACAGUUAUUCUAAAUAUAUUAGUUGUGGUUGAUACUUGGAACAAAAAGGAUAUAAGGUGAGAUGUACAAGUCAGACUUUCAAUUUUAACAAGUUAGGAAAAGGCAUGAUAACAAACAAUGCCUAAACAUUGAUUGAAAUUAAAGUCAUUGAGCAACGUCUAGGGUUUUUACUGGAUCAGGCAAUAUGUAGUUUUCAAAUAUCGAAUCUGUAAAGAAUGACUUUGCUGACAAAUCUUUAGAUGAUAAAGCAUGUGUAGAUUUAGAACCUGGUUUCUUUGAUAUUUUUUAGCAAGUUUGCAUUUUGUUUAUACAUGAAUUUUCUACCUUCAUCUUUUACUUGCAGCUGUUUGUGUUGUGUGGAUGCAGUUAUGAUAAUGAUAAUCCUCAAACAAGAGCAAUUUGGAAGGCUUUGUGGUUUUUGUGAUGGUGCAACUUAAGGUACUUUUGCACCAUCAAUUCCUUGCCAUUAUUUUGCCAACCUAAUCUUUGAACUUUGUCUUGCCUGUCCCACAGUGAUGAUUGGUUAUCUUAUUUAUUGCAUUCUCUGAUACUCUGAAAUAUCUAGUCGGGUCCCACAGGGGUAACAUGAAUCAUAUAGAGGGUUCCGGUGAAGUAUGUUUAAAAACCUGGUGGACUGUCUUUGGAAUCUUGCGUCAGUUUGAAAUUUUGGAUAUUAUGUUAUGGUUCAUUAUUACUUCCAAAAUCAAAAUUUAUAUGAUAUCUGACAUGUUAAAUCACUGCUUUUAUCUACCUUACUAUCUAAGAUAUGGUCCAUUUUACAAACUGAUAGAUUGCUUCAACUUACAUUACUUUUUUCAUAUUCCUCUAAGAAAAAGUGCCAGCUCUUACCUAAACACCACUUUGCUUGGAAUUGAAUUUAUUUACUGCCAUUUCAUUACUUUACCAGGUGAGAAGCCUGAAGACAUAUCUUUUAACCUUGGUAUGGGGGUAGGUCUUGUCUUCCUUCUGACCAAGUGUGCAAGUGAGUUCAAAAGAAUGACAAAAAUGCAGGCAGAGAUGGAAAUUCUGCUAAAAGAAAUUAAAGAUGAAGUUCAAAAUAAAGAUGUUAUUUAUACCUUCUUGGAGUCAAGUAAUGGUGUCGCCUUUUCUUCACCAGAUUGCUCUGGUGAUGUAAGUACAAGCAAGGCUAUUCCCUUGCAGAGUCGCAUAUCAUCUUGUCAUCAGGAAGGGACAGAAUGUGCCACUGAAUCUGAUGGAAAGUCCAUCUUUUCUGAUAAUAAAAGGUGCCUAAAGAUGGAUCAACUGGAUGCAGAGCUCGAAAUUGAGUUAGAACGUAUGCAGCUUAACUUGGAAGGAGAAGAUUCAUCCAUACUCCUAAGACAACACAAAAUUGCGGUAUACCUCUCUUAGCGCUUCACUUCAUGAACACAGUUGGUUUAACUAAAGAAAUAAUUGUGUCACAUAUCCAUUUAUUUUCUUACUUAGAUCAUGCUAAACAAUUAGAUAUAUUGUGUCUGAUGCUCUGACAUUAAAUAGAUAUUUCAUAAAUUCAUACAUAUUUUCUUCAACUCAGCAUUGCUUAUAAUUGUGAUUCUAUUCAUCUUUGGCUGAACAAUUUUUGGUUCUUAUGAGUUUCCAUGUGUUCUUUUAUUCUCUAUCAUUGGUAUGUCAUGUCAAUUUCCUGGAAAUUUGAAUGUGCCUCAAAUACCUGAUGGAAAGAGUUUGACAUGAUUAGUUCCAAUUUGGGUUUGAUUUGGCAAUUGCAAAGGAGGUAAAAGAACAAUACAUUAUUAGCCUGAUCUUCUCUCUGUUUCAUGAGAUAUCACUUUUGUUCUCUUUCCUUCAAGUACAGAACAUCUGAUCUUAAACGCAAAUUAUCAGACCACACAUGUUCUUCAUUUAUCCCUAUGUAUUUAGACAAAAACUUUCGCUCCUUCUGUAGUCAUUUCCCUCUAAUCUGUUGUUGUUUUUACUAAUUAUACAUCAAAAAAAGCUUGCUUUUAUCUUCCAGUCUAACGACAAUCUUGCUCCAGUACACUCAGUAGCUUGAGCACUUGCAUCAGCAGCGAUAAAUGUAUCAAAUUUUGCAACUAUGCAUUUUUCAUAUAUAGUACAUGUUGGUUGUAAUCAUGGUUCUAAGUUUUAGCAGAGACAAGUUUUUCAUAUAUACUAAUGUUGAUUGUAAUCAAGGUUUAAGCUUCAUCUGAAACCGAUUUGUUUUAGAUGAAAUUGACCCCUAGUUUCAGGUUUUGGUUUAAAUAGAUUUGCUUUAGUCCAAUUUCAGUUUCAAUAGGUUGUAAUCAUGGUUUAAAUGAACAUCUUUGGUUUUAUAUAAAAUAAAUAUAAGAUUCAUGGUAGGUCUAGCGAUCCUCAUGGAUCACCUGCUAGACCUAAAAACCUGGUAACUUGAAAGUACCAACUAAUAUUAAAUGGAUAGGCCACUGUAAUUGCUUAGUUAUGCAGGCUACUCUAUGCUCAUGGAAGCAUAUAAAAGGUAAGGAAAUAUGUUUUUUGUGGGUUUACUCUUGAUCCAAUAAUAAUAUCUCUUUAGGUCCCUAGAGAUGAAAUAUCAUUGGCUAUGGUUCAUGCUUGUACUGACUGCUUUGCCCUUUAUAUCAUUUUUUUUUCUCCUUCUUUUCUCUUGAACUCAGCUGUCUAUAUUCUUGUUUUGAACCUAGGGCCUGCAUAUUAUCAGUAUUUGUUACAUUGAUCCUAGGUGUCUUGCUUGACCUUCAAGAUAUACAUGCAUUGUUUGGCAGUCAUCUAUUUCUAACGCUUUGCAUAAUUAUAAAAUCCGAAAGACAAGAAAAAUAGGAAUAAAGGGAAAUCACUAACUAGGUAUAUCAGGAGAAAAGGGAUAUGACUAACUAAAUAUAUAAGCAAAGAAGUCCCACUAGUUAAAAAGUAUACAUUCUUUACCUAGUACAUGCUGUCUAAUAUGGUGCAAUGUUAUUUCAUCAGUCCUAUUAAAUUGGUUAUGCAUAAUAGUACCUUUCUUCUAAUAAAAAGUUCUGGCCUAGUAUUGUGCCUUUUCCAUCAUGUUUCUUUUUUGCCAAUAUUAUUUCCCAAUAUUGUAAUAAAAAAGUGACCACAUAGAGCUCUCAUUAAUUCUGGUUAUCCAAUAGUACUCAUCCGAAACAUUUAUCUUUAAUGAUGACUUCAAUGUGCAUAUUAGAUAGGUUUUCCAUGUCAACACCAUGAUGAUCUUUUUUGUAGGUGGCAUGCAUCUUUACUUUAUGUUCAAAGUUACUUGGCAUUGAGAUACACACACAUAUACACACCUCUUUUUAGUCAAUAUAUUUUCUCAUAUUUUCUUCAAAUACACAGUUUGCCAGUGAGAGUAGUGAUUCUUCUGGAAGCCACAGUAUGAGUUUUGGACAAGAUGUUGAACCUAAAAAAGAAGACAAUGGAGAAUAUAGUGGAGUUUCUUCACUUGAGCUGGAGCGAAGGUUGCAUGAGCUUCUACAUAUAAAACAGCAAGAGCGGAUAGAAGAGUUGGAGUAUGCAUUAGAAUGCACCAAGCAAAAGGUUGUGGAGACAGAAAUUGAGAUUUCUCGGUUGAGAGGCAGUGCAAGUCUUGCUCCACCUCACAAGGAUGAAAAGUUCCAGCAAGCACCAAAAAAAAUCAACCUCUUUCGCUCUUGAUCAUUGCUCUUGCCAGUGAGAAUGUUGUGCCAUGUUGGAGUAAAACUUAAAAAGGCACCUUCAUUUCUUGGUAAAGUCAUAUAUAAGAGAGCAGCAGAGUAUCCCAGGUGGAUUUUUGCAUUUAAAUGAAAAGGAAGGGUGAAAUUAGACAAUUCAUGCAUGAAGAUAUGAAACGCCAAAGCGAGAAACUACCAAUUGAAGGAUAAAAAGAGAGAGCAUGAUUAUUACUUGGUAUGUAGCUAUCCUCUGAAAUGUAUCAGAUGUGAACUCUAUGUUGUGUUCUAUACAUGUUGAAACUCUUGCUUGUUUCAGCUCCAUGUUUGAAAUUCUGAGUUGUAAGGCUGCAGAUUGAAUCACUUUGGCAUGCAAAGUGAUUAUCCUGAGUUGUAUGGGAUGGUAAUAGCUCUUUCUGUUUUAACAAAGGUGGACAAUUAUUUUCAUCAUGCAGGAUGUCUGAAAGUGCAUCCGAAAAGAAGACCAAGCAAAUCCCUUUCCCACACUAUCACCAUAAAAACUUAGGAACUCUGAGUGAUGGUGCGAGGGACUUAUGUUUUAAAUGUCUUUCAUUUAUUGUGUGACAAGGCUCAUCUUGGAAUAAGUUAAAUGCUCACGUUAAUUCUUUAGUGGUAUCAGUUUGGCUUUGUAUUUAUAUGCACGUAUGCACCUGUCUUCUUCUAACAGAACACAAAGCUAGGAACAAAUAGCGGUAGGCGAUUUCUCACUGCUUGUGAAGCUCUGAAAGCUUUUGGCAGUCUAAGUACCAUAUUAAUCACGCCACUAGGUUGACAAGAGUUGAGGAAUGUUGCUGUGCCAGUAAAAAUAUUAGAUCAAUAAAAUUAAUUGGAUUCCAGAUGAUUUUCUCAUACUUCUAGACAAGUGACCCAAUUUUUCUUCUGCCAGUAACUUAGAACAUGGCAUGCAUUCUGUGGCAUGAUUUUUUUGUGACUGGCUGCGACUACACUUAUAAUUCCAUGUUAUGCUUUGUGAUUCGAAGAAGCACCGAAGAGACUUAAAAUUGCAGUAUUUGAUGGAAUUGCCUAGAUCUAGAUAGGGUUUCAGAAUGUGUCAUGGUCGCCAAUAGAGUCAUGCGAGUGCACUUAAAUUGGCUGCCUAGAUAUCCUGCUUAUAGAAGAUACUUUGUUGACGACAACCUGAAUUGCAGAGCAUACUGAAGGACUUGGAUUCUACAGCCAACAUUUAAUCUUCAGGAGAUUGCUGUUCCAGCUUAGACCUCCAAUUUGUGCAUGAUCUUUCUGUUUUCAUGUUUGUUCUUGCAAUAUCAGUGAUGAUGCAUCGUAUGAAGCAGCAGUGUUUUUUCUCAAGGUGUCAAAAGGAAAUUUGUUGAUCAACUACUACUCUUUAUUGUUUUUAUGUUACUUGAAAAGAUCAUUAAAUUCAUUUUUCAAAGUACACAUCCCUGCAAACUGAUUCUGUACAGAAAGAACAGAUGCCAAUAUUUUUGUAAGGAAGACAAGCAUUAGUAUUUUCUAACUAUUAAAUCAUCCAUAUACCACAAUUGUUAUCACUUUUUUCGAGAGUCCAGAUUUUUUUUAGAAAAAUAACAUCAAAUAAAACUCAAAUUAAUGGUUAAGAAAUAAAAUAUCUAUUAUAUUCGACUCAUAUCAAUGAUAUAAGUGUUGCGAAGGAUAUAGCAUGGUGUGAACACAUUGACAGAAUGAUAAAGAAUAUUAUAAACUCUGGCUAAGCCAGAGAAAAGUAGUUGUAGUAACUAAAAAAGGAAAAAAAGACUGAUGGAGAUCUGAAAGAUUGUACAAUGAAUGCAAAGAAAUUUAUAGGUCUCAAAAAUGAUGGCACGUUUGAAGGUAAGUUUGAGGACAUUAUUUAAGAAAAUCUAAUAGGCCUCAUUUGUUCUAACAAUAAUUUAAGUGUAAAGAUAUCAGAUAUAAUAAACCUCAGAUCUUGAACCCAUAAAACAGAAAUAACUACAAUAGUGAUCUUUCUUCCCUUCCCCUUCUGGAUAAGUAAAAAUAAGUAUAUUAAAAGCCAGAUCAACUGUGCAAGAAACAUUAUGCUAUAUGUACCAUACAAUAAAGUUAUAAACUCAUAAUGUAGCUAUCAGCAUGGUGGCCAGCCAGGAAAAGAAAAUGGAAUGCAGCAGAUGUGUUAGAUCUUAAAUCAUACAACUGGCACAAUCCAUUUCCUCAGAAAUGCUAACUAUUUCUUAUAAUUCAACAGCAGCCUUUGCUGCGACUGCUAUCCGCUCCACAUCAAUGGAUGGUUAGUAAGGAUCCUUACCAUACCAUAGCGGCCUCCACAGUCAUUAUCUUCAUGCAUAGUCCAAGCUUCUUUGGCAAACUUAUUUACUACAGUGAGAAUCUAUUUAGCCACGCCACCAGAAGUUGAGCACUGUUGGUUAACAUCUCCAGGUCUUAGGUCCCUGGAUGUGGUAGUAGAUUGUUGAACCAGAUUGUUCAACCCAGACUCUUCAUCCCUUUCCUUGGCCUCGGCAACUUGGGCUAUGUUUUCAUCCUUUUUGUUGCCUCUGCAUUGAAAGAAGCAUAAAAUGGUUUAAUUCUGUCUUGCAUGAAGACUUGAUAGAGGUGAAAUACUUAGAUGGUAGGUGGUUACCCAGAAUAAAUCACGAGACCAACUGCAACAGCUCCAAAAGCUAUGAAGUACAUCCAGUCAACCUGAAGGAUGCAAAUUUCACUUCAUUGAACUUUUAAUCUUAAUAAUUGUUAUGCAUAUCAGAGGGAUUGGUCUACAACCUUCUGAUGAUAAGCAAAGAUGCGUAUUAGAACAGCCCACAUGUCGGACGUCAGCAGUGAAAGAUUUAGCAUUGUUGAUCCACUUAUCUUGUGAUCAGGAAGGACAAAGAAAAAAGAUAAAUUAUUAAGUGAAUGAAAAGGGGUGAGUUAGAGAAUAAUUUUUCAGACUUGUGCAUUUCUACUUAUUUAUAAUUUGUCAGUCUUGUGCAUUUCUACUUAUUCCUUCGAUAAAUAACGAUAAUUUUAUCAAAGAAGCAGCAAAAGUCAAGUUGAUUUGGGUUUAAACAGGAGCCCGAAAUCACAUUUCCAUAGGACAUUCGUGGAGAAGUUAUGCUCAGCUGGCAGGAAAGACAAUAUCAGAUGGUUGGCAUCCCUCUCCACUCUGGAGAUGACCAGGAAUCAAACCCUAGUGACAGGCAACCCCUACCAUAUUUCUCUAAAUAAAAUAAACUAAAAUAAACAACUGGUAAGAAAGACAUGUACAUAACAUCACAGACUACAUAGACUUGUCCAAUCAAGGAUUGCUGCUAGAAAAAUAUAUGCUUGUCCCAAAGGAUUGCAAAAUGAGCAUGGUCUAAGGUAUAAUCUUUUUUUUGACCUUAUCCACCCACACCGCCACAAAAAAAAAAAAAAAUAAUAAUAAUAAUAAAUAAAUAAAGGAGAGAACAUCCAACCAUUUCAAACCUAAGUUACUGGUUGCUAAAUGCAAUCUGGUGGGCUGAAGAAAGAACACUAGAUAUAAAAGCAAAUUCAAUUAGUAUCUUAUAACAAUAUUCCUGUAAACAAGUUGUGGGAAAACCUUUUAUCUAUGUUGCUGAAAAAAAAAUGAUGUGUUAAAACUUCUGCUUAUAUGAUAGAUCAAUGGCAUUAUGAAAUCCAUACACAAUCUUAAGCAUACCUUGAGUAUGACAGGUACUGUAGAAUAAAACAAGAACAUUGCUAAUGCAAACCCAAGAAAUGGUAGCACCUGAAAUCACAUGUUCAACAAAUUAUGAAUAUAUAAGCUCCCAAGUUUUUUUAUUUGAAAAUCUCACUGGCAUGCAUAGUUAGAGACAACAGUACUUAUGUUCAACAAAUUAUGAAUAUAUAAGCUCCUUCAUAAGUCUAGAUUCUAAUGGAUGAUGGGUGCAACCAUAUAAUCAUACUAUCAUACAGAUAAAAGAAAUACUGCCCUCCUGCAAUUGCAAACUUAGAAUGAUACAUUACAUCCAUUACAUGCAUAUUUAAGUGUACAAAUAUAUCCAGCAAGAUAAAGCAUCAUUCUUUUAAGCUGAUCAACAUAAUCGAACUAUAUCAUGGAGUACGCAGAAACAACAAUAACCUAAGAAAUGUAUGCAUUGUGUUAGUAAAAGGUCAAAUUCAGCAUGUUGACCACAUUCUACUAAAACAUAAUCCACUGAAAAUCUGAAUCAUGUGCUUGCCAUGGUCUUUGGCUUUAAUUCUUUUCAACCAACAACUCCAAACUAGAACAAUAAGAUUAGUAAAUUUCUUUAGAAAGAUCCAUUCGACAAUGUAUUAGUUUAAAUCUGUUAUUCUCAUAUUUUACAUCGAUUUGUUUGACCUCAACAAUACAGAUACAUCAAUUACCAUGUCUUGGUUUCCCAUUCAAAUUUGUGAAACAGAAAAAUUAAAUCUUGUGUUUAUUUUGGAUUUUUUGUAUAAAACUCACUCAGAAAAAAGGUAUAUUUCAUUAAACAUUUAAUGAAAAUAUUGUAGUCUGAGCAAGAUCAGUACUAGAAUGAAAUAGAUAUACAAUUGUGAGGACAUUUUCUACUGUACCUUCUCAUGUUUGCGGAAAGGUAAUGGUGUAGCAGUUGCAGAGUAAAGAGGUACAAUAGGCAGCCAUAUUGAUGCUUAUCACUGUCAAAUGGAAUACAGUUUUUAUAAUUAUGCAUCUAGUUCUUGCACAGCUUGGGAAUAGGAUAUUGUGGAUAUGGAUAAGGACAAGGAUUUGAAAGGGAUACUUCAGAAAAGAAUUGAGGGCUCUAGCAGGGGCCUAGUGGCAGCAAAGAAUAGCUACUUGAUUAGAUGUAUGUAUCAUUAAUAAUCCUGAAGUUCAAACAAAUAAGGCUUAGCAAGUAGCUUAAAAAUAUUUUCCUAUGUUAUUAGAUAGUUGGAGAUAUUAUACAGGGCAAUUAUCACACGACAACUGUCAUGGAUGACCUCAAGUUUGUUCCCACAUCAUCUUCCAAGCAUGAUGAUCCGAUCCUUUCUUUCAUAUCCUUAGUCCAAACUAAACAAAUGGCAUUGUGGUUAUGCAGGUCCACUUUAUUAUUGUCUCUUUACCUGUAGCUAGUAGACACCAAUCCUUGAACUGUGGAGGCAGCUGUGCAGUUCCUUGUUUAAAUUUAUGAAAAGUUAUGAAUUGUUUUACAUCAUAACAGCAAUGAGAUCUUUUUUGGCUGGAUUAGGUUCGUCCUUAAAUCCUGGUAAAGGAAAUAGAAAGCAAUAAGUGUGCCAUGUCCAUCCAAUGAGAAGGAGGAAGGUUCUCGGAUGAAUACCAGUCCAUCUUAGCUUAUUGUUUUAUUAACUAUCUAAAAGCAGUCUAGAAUAUCUUUAUAUUUCAUACUAUUCCACUGUUUUUGACAGUUUGCUAAGAACCUGUUCAAGUUGCAGGUGUGAACUACUCAAUGUGCUAAACAAGAUAAGUAGAAUUGAGAAUUUUUACUAGAGUUACAAAAACUCGUGUUCGGAGAAAAUUUAUUAACCAUACAAAGUAUGACAUGUAAAAUCAUCAUAUAUGCUUAAAACACCAGCAUAAGAAAAGAUGCACAUAUGCAAACAGAGUAGAUAUAUCAAAAAUGUGAAAUGAGUGAAAUCAGCAAGAGUAAUUAAGAAAUAAAAGUGAUAACCGCACAAAAUCACUUUGUCUGUGAGAGAGAGAGAGAGAGAGAGAGAGGCAUACUGCACCAGCCGUCCAGUGGAUAGAUUUGAGCUCAUUGCGUUCAAGUAUGCUUCUGGGAGAUUGAUUAAGGAAGGAAAAUAUUGAGCUUAGCUUAUGAAAAUUAAAAGACGACAAUUAUCUCAGAAUAUCUUUGUAUCACAUUAACUGAAAACCCAAGCAUAAUUAUCAUUCAUGAUUCAUGAACUUUAUCUCUACAGACUGGCCUUCCCAUGAAAACCCAGUUCAUCUGAACUUAAACUCCAGUAUAAACAUUAAAUCAGUCUAAACAUAAUAAUUAAUAAAAAAAUAAAAGAAAAGAUUAAGAAUAUUACUCAACAGAAUGAGAUAUCAUCAUAAUCAUGACCAUCCAAAUCUUUUCUCAUCAAACAUGGUGUCAACUAUCAACUAUGGAACUUUAACUGAACGUUGUGAAGGUUAUAUGAAGGAACAAGGAUUUUCAAACAGUGGUCAACCAAACAUCAACUUCAAGAAAUUGGUUCCAGAUUCCUGGUUAGUACAAAGCUAGGCAGGAGAAGCUAUAUAAUUAAGUCUAAACAGCUAGUUGGUAGAUAGGGAAAUUAACAUUAUUGGUCACAGUUUAAGGUCAUGGAACUAAGGAAUAGCCCUCCAAUAUUCUCUUAGACUUGGAAAGAGUCUAGACAAGAAAGAUAAUACAAGUACCUAUGUUCAUCCCUAAAGCAGGGGUAAAAAAAAUGCAGUUCAUAAAAAAUGUAAACCAGCAUGUGAGACAGUGAAUUCGAAUCUCAUAAGGCUCUGCAACCCUUUUAUUCAUAACAUGGUCAUAUGGUUGUGAACUUUGAGAUCUUCCACAAAAGACAGAGAGUUCAGAUAAAAAUGAUAAUACAAUUUAUAACUACGCUGCCUAACAUGAUUCAGAUUUGACUGGUACCAAAUUUGUCGUAUGAAAUUCUAUAACCCUUCUCAGAUGUAACAUUUUCCUAAAUAUAUGAUUAUGCAUUCCACAAUCUACGAUCAUGUCAAAUCUAGGACUUUCUUUCCAGCUUUUCCAAAUCUUUCAUUGCAAUUUUUUGCUGCUUUCCUCACUUUCCUUAGCCCCUCUUUAACAAAAUGCCAAGCCCCUAUCCUUGCUUCAUCCCCCUAAGAUAUCUGUGGCAAAUUCUCAUACCAUCUUAAUUAGAUUCCCAUCAUUUUGUCCCCUUUUUAACUCCAGACUUUGUCCUAUGCUUCCAGGAUUUCACACAUAUCCACCUCUUUAGUUUCCAGAAUUUUAUAUAAAAUUCUAUAUUUUCUCAAAGACAUAAGAAUUCAUUUCUCUAUAAAGGUCCUCUUCUUAGAGAAAUAAAAAAAGGUGCUCGAUUGCUGACACAAAUAAAUUCAACUAAUGCUUCAGGCAGUGUCUUAAGAACUCCAAAGGAAUAUGAGAUUAUAUGAUUAUCUGCACAAAGAGGACGGAUAAAUUAAUAUGGCUGCUCAUUAGUGUAGCACAUCCUCAAGCUUAUGUGGAAAGAUCAGAUUGUGAUUGUUCAAACUAAUCAGGAUUUAGCUACAUGGCCUAUGCCUAUUUACCUGAUAUCUUAUAUCUGUAAUGCUACCACACACAUACACACACACACACACCAAAAAAAAACAUUGGUGCUCUGAAGCGUGAUCUUAAAUGACAUGGAGAUGCAACUAUCUGAUGACUAGUUAUGUUUCAAAGUUAUGUCUUAAUAUUCAUCCAAAGAUUAUGCGUGGAUGCAAGCUUUCUAUGAACAUGCUUCAGUGAGUGACAUAAAACGUGUGGGGUAAACAAGCCUCCACUGAUAUCACUUUAUUCAUUGAAAUGUCAAGGAUACAUUUGACAGGCGCUGAUAACAGCUCCAAAUGUGCCAAGCAUUGCCAUCAACUCAAUUCUAUCCCCCUUCUUCACCAGUAACUCCUGGAGAAUGUUGCCGAGAUGUUAAGUCCCAUAUGUGAGAAGCAAUGAUUUUGGCUAAUGUUAACAGGAAGCGAGAACAACAACUUCAAAGGAAAUGCUUAUUUUAUUUUGUAGAUUGUCAUAAAAUAGUAGCAGAAUAAUAUAUUGGAGCCACACUAAUACUUGACAACUGAGCAACUCUUGAGAAAAAAAAUGUGAUAUGAUAAAAAAAUUGUGCCAAAUAAUGUCACUUUUAACAAACAACUCAACUAACUAUAAUAUUGGCAUCCAGUAGAUCAUGUUUAAAGCUAAUCAUAUGGCUCCUUACAAUUUUAUCAGAUACCUUUAGAAAAGAAAAGGUAUCAGAAAGCUUCUGUAAAUACUGAGCAACUCUGUAAACAUUUAAUUCAUGCAAAGAAUUAGGCAAAAAAAGCUACAACUUUGCUUUGUUCAAGAGGCCAUGUUAAUGAAAAAGCUUGCAAGUAAGCAAUAUUAGAUAAUGUUCACCAUUACCACAAUCUUGAUGGUUUUCUGAUUUACAUACCUCACUAACAUUACUAACUGCAUAAAGUGUUGACCCAGCAAUGACAAACAUAUCUCCUUUCACAGGGUUGCUCCCCGCUGUAAGCAAUUACAAAGGGGCCAAAAUAUGAGAGAAGGAAAAAAAAUGCAUCUGUUACCUAUUGUACUAAAAUAUACAUCAUAAUGGCAUGUUAGAUAAUAAUUAACAUGAAAAACAGACCAAUUUACUAUACUUCUACAGCAAUACUGAAGAAAAAAGGACCAGACUCUAGACACUACUUGCAGCUAAGCAUACACAUUGUUCUAGUAAACAUAGGUUUCACAUAGGUGCAUGCAUCAUAAUUUGCUCUAUGACUUGGGUAUUCCUACUAGCUUGAGUAGAGUGUAAGAUAGCCUGUAUCAGUUUGAUGAGUUUAUAAAGGAAAUAAACUUGUGAAUCCAUUUAGAGACAUCAGAAUCUGUUAUUAGAUUUAUAAGUUGAAAGAAACGGAUGCUCUGAUUUGAUCAACAUGAGAAAAAGAAAAAUGUUGGAAGAUGCAAUCAAUCUACAACUUAAGCAUUAUAUCCAAUGUAUAUAUCGAAUUUGUCAUCAAAUCAUAGUGCCACAACCAGUACCUUAGUGGAGAUCAAGGAACAAAAGGUGUUUUAUAGGAUUAUAUGGACUAUGGAGAUUAGUAAACAUAUGCCAUAGGAGAAGUGACAGGUAAUGGAAAUAAUGGUGGUGCGAAUCGUUCCCAAUUGAAACAAGUCAAUAGAAGGUUUUGACUGUAAAUGUUAAAAGCCUUCUUUUUACAUUUUAUCAUAGAUGAACUAGCUUUUGAUUUUUCAGGUAGAAAUUCAGGGUAUAUGUUCUCUCUAUAAAUUCUUACCAAUUAAUAAAAAAAAAAGGAUUCAGCUGGAUAGAGAGGAUAAAUAACCAAACAUAUUGAACUCAGCACACCCAUGCCAGUCAACUGCUGCUUUGGGUGCUGUGACGGUGCAUAAAACCUCGUUUAAUAUAAUUUACAAAGUUUACAGGAAAUUAGCAUAUCUUGUUAGGGCAAGGGAUAUCCAUAAUUGUUGUAGCUCACUUAACACAAGAUUGUUCACAGUUUAUGAACAAAAUAUGGGAAUGUACGGUAACUCACAUAUCAAUAAACAGAUGACAAAGCUAAACAAUCAUUAAAGAAGUAGCAGCCAUGACAUGACAGUUGGACACUUGAGGAAGACUGCAAGAGAUGGCAUCAUAGUUCUUGGCCUUCCAACAGACAAGGAAAUCUCCAAUAAAGAUGUUAACUAAUACUAGAACCCCAAAGCUUAGGUGGUUGAAGAAGAGGCCAACAACAUGUAUCAAGAUUAAACACCUCAACACCCUCACAAGUGGCUUAGCAAGUGAAGGCAUAACCAAGACACAAAUGGCUCAAGGUAACGAGCAAGGUCCAAAAACUCAGUUUCAGUUUCAAUUUUGUCUGGGCCCAUGAAAUUGUGUUUCUAUAGUUUUUGAUAGUUUUGAAAAUUCAGCUCCAAGUAUUGGAAUUUUGAUAAAAAAAAUCAAGAAAAGUUUUAACAGAAUCUUAAAAAAAUAAAAAUUAAAUAAGCCAUGAAAAGGUACUACAUAAUAUUUUACAGUAUUCUCUCUUCUAUAUGUUCUUUUAUUUAUAUAGUUUUGACAACAAUUUUAUGCGGAAGUUAAUAUUACAUAUAUUGUGAAUAUAUACAUUAUCUAGUGAUGGGCAUGUAGAUGAAUAUUAGAGACUUGCAGUGGAAUAUCAAAAUAUUUGUUCAUGAUAUUUCUGCAUAAAAAGCAUGCAUACAGCAUUUAAAAUAUUUAUAGCUUUCCAUAAUGAUAAAUCUGAAAUUGUUUCAAUCCUCUAGGGAAUGACUGAGGUCGUGAACGCAUACAACUCUCUAAGAAUUACUACCCAUGGCCACUUCAAUCCACGUGCUCUAUCUUUGAAGGCUUUGUUUAGUCUUGAAUCUCCAGCAAUUGCAGGCCAAGGGGAUGGUCCGCAAGAAAAUCUUGAACCUCUCUUCCUCUCUUUUCUUCUUUUACUUGGAGAAGAAAAUCUCUAGCCACCCUACCUCUCGCUCUCCCCCUUUAUUUUUCCUCACGCUCGGAUUUCUCCCAUGCACCUCACCCUUUUCUCAUGCCAAGCUGAGGUGCCUCUUCUAGGAACUCUCCCAUGCACCUUUGUUUUUCCUCUUCUCCACCACCCUUUUCUCACACUAGGGUUUCUCUCUUGUUUUCCACUUCUUACGCAAAUAUUUUAGCAUGUUAGCAUGAUUUUAAAUGAUCACAUGAUUCUAGAUGAUCACAUGAUUUUAGAGAUCAUAUCACAACCCAUAAUAUUUUCCUUUAAUGGCAUGAUCCCAUAACAUUUUCCUUUGUUAAUUUUUCUUUGUUAGUAUGAUUCUGUAUCAGCUAAUAUUAUUUUUUUUAUGGACUAUGUGCACUAGUAUAUAUAAUCCUUGAGAUGUACCCAGUGUGAUUGAAACAAAGAUAAUAAAGCCCCUUUUCUCUCUCUCUCUUUCUAUUUUAACAUGUUAUCAGAGCUACUGAUCACUUAAUAUGCCACCAUCAUCUCUUCCGCUUUUGUUAUGGCUACCAUUGCUGAUCUAUCAUAUAUAAAGGAGGAGAUGUCGACAUUUCUUUGGGUCACCUCAUAAUAGUUCUAAUUGAACUUAGGUAGAAGAAAGGAGGGGAGGCCUUACUUGGGUGGCUCCUCCCAUGUGAUGUCACACUCCCAAAGGGGUUGCACCAUUAUGUGGUGCAUAAGAGAGGGAAAGGAGGGGUGGCCCCACAUGGUUGGCUGCCCACUACUUGGAAGCCCUUCAAAUUGGCCUAGGUCAAGGCCCAUAAAGUUUUUCUUGUCCAGACCAAGCCUAAACCUAUACUUAGGCUAUUUCUUUAGCUCAAUUAGAGUUUAAUUAAUUCUCCAAUCAUAUCUAGACCUUUUUUGAUCCAAUUAAAAAUUAUCUAUUAAGAGAACAAUUAGUUUGAAAAUGAUUUCAAUUGACUUGGAGAUAGAGGCACGUGCUAAAUGUCAAGGAAAACACGAUUUCUUGAUCAUAGACUGGAAUACUUUGAUUGACAGCCAUUUAUUUUUCUAAUUUUUUGGUCUUUAAUUGACCAAUAUAAAUUAUCAGAUUUUCAGCAUAUUUGUCAAAGAGACAUGAUUUCUGAUUGUAGGCCGUAACCUCUAAUGGUACGCUGGAAAUAAUUUGGAUUGACAACCAUUUAUUUUUCUGAUUUGUUGGUCUUCAAUUGACCAAUAUAAAUUAGCAUUGAUUGUAUCUUUUCCUUUUUCAUAAUUAUCAAAUUGGUGUACAAAUCAUAUCUAUAUAUAUGGCAAGAAUUUUCUUCUUGAGGUAGACAAUUCUAAAAUUCUCUAUAAUUAUUUUUGUGCUCUUGAUAUUAAUAUGGUAUUAGAGCAAGGUUCUUAGGAUAAUUUUGAUUUUGAAAUUUUUUAGACAAAUUUCUGCAUUUGGGUAUUGUUCUGUCUGGUCUCUUGCCCAUUAAGAACCCAAAUUAUUCUGGUUUGGAUUUUUUAUUCAGCCUAAGUGAUCUGUUCCUCUGAGUGUUGGUCUAAAUCUUCAAUGGCAACUCUACUGGGUUGAAUCAACGAGUUCAAUUUGGGAUAUUUUUAUCCGUGAAUUUUUUUCUGAUCAUCUGUGCAUCAACGAUUUCUUUUUUCUCUGCUGCGAUUAUCUCUACAACCAAUCCAGCAAAGGAAACCAUCUACAACAGCCUCUAACAACUGGUUCGGCAUUCUCUGAAGCAAAGAUUGAAAUUUCUGGAUUGAUUCGUUCUUUUUUUCUCUUUCUCACAGCAACAUUAGACUCAAUUCAUUGGUUGUUUGGGGUCGUCUUGAUUUGAUUGAAUCUUGGUUCAAAUGUAUUCUCAAAAUAAAUUUGCUAUUGUUUUUAUUUGCCUUAAUGGAAAAAAUUAUUCACUAUGGAAAUUUACACAGCGAUAUUUUAUUAUAGGGCAAGAACUAUGGGGUUAUGUAGAUGGUACUGAAAUAAAGCCAAGAGAAUCAAAAGUUGAAGAAUUAAAAAAGUGGAAGAAAAACAAUGCAAAACUUAUGAGUUAGAUCAUUAGCUCAGUAGAACCCCAUAUUGGCAUAAAUUUAUGCAUGUACGACUUGACUGCUAAAAUGUGGAAAUUUUAAAAAAAUCUCUAUCAUCAAGAUAAUAUGCUAGGAAAUACAAUCUCGCCAUAGAAAAUAAUGGGAAGGAAGUAACACUGUCCAAGAGUAUUAUGAAUCUGUGGCUUGAAUAUACUUGUAUUAUAUAUAAGAGCGUAUCCCCAGCAGCUCUUCCCACUAUAAGAGAUUUAUAAGAAAAAAAUGAGGGAUCAAUUCUUAAUGAAGCUUAGAUCUAAAUUUGAGACAGUUCGUGCUAAUCUGAUGAAUUGAAAGCCGGUUCCUAACUUGGGAGAUUGCUUUAAAAAAAUAUUGCAUUAAGAACAAAUAACUCUUUCUCAAGCUCAUUAGGAGAACCACGGAGAAACUUUAGUGAUGGCUUUUGCAGCUCGUGGUGCAUCUCACAUGAUCCUCAAAAUGUCCAAUAUUACUUGUGCAAGAAAUUUGGACAUAUUGCAAAAGACUGCAAGAAGAAAUUUUGCAAUUAUUGUAAGAAAGAAGGACACAUCAUAACUGAAUAUCGUCACCAACCUCAGACUAAAGAAUCAAGGGCUUUCCAUACAAAUGUUAAAUUGUUAGGGACUUUUUAUCCAGAUCCCUACUUGCGGACAACUAAUCCUCUGUAACAGUCCAGUCUUUAAUCUCUGUUGAGUCCAUUCAACAAAUGAUUCAAUUAGUCUUAUCUACCAUAGGAAUUUCAUGUAAACAAUCCUCUAAGUCCUAGUAUAUUGAUUCUUCUACAUCCAACCACAUGACUUUUUCACCCACUAAUUUUCGAACUUUGUCUUCCUAUAAUGGUCUUUUGAAAGUUGACAUUGCAGAUGAAACAAGUCUUGAUAUUAUCGGAAUUGGUAACAUUACUUCACCCACUCUUAAUCUAACAGAUGUUUUUCUUGUUCCUAAACUGUCUACUAGUUUACUCUCUAUUGGUCAACUAGUCGACAAUAAUUGUAAAAUCUCAUUCUUACUGGUUCUCUAAUACAGGACCUGGAGUUUGGGAAGGUGAUCGUGAGGGGGCGUAAGGAGGGAUGACUUUUUAUUCUGACUCAAGCUAUUGAAAAUAACUUUGCUUGUUUUGUUUUUCAUAGAAAAAAUUCAAAUCAACUAUGGACAUUGUGGCAUAGGAAGUUAGGACAUCAAAAUUUUCAAAAAUUGACAAUAAUGUUUAAUUCUAGUCUUUUUAGCAAUAAAGUUACUCCUAAAAAGUUUUUUUGUUCUAGCUGUUAUUUUGAAAAAAAAAAAGUAAGAAAUUACCUUUUUCUUAUAGUUCUCAUACCUCCAUUAAAGCUUUUGAACUAGUACAUUCUAAUGUUUAGUGCGAUCCUGUGAUUUCUAGUUCAGGAUACAGAUACUUUAUCACAUUUGUUGAUGACUACAAUCAUUUUACAUGGUUAUAUUUGUUGAGAAAUAAAUCUGAUGUAUUUUUUUUGCUUUUAAGGCCUUUGUGUCCAUGAUUGAAAAUCAAUUUGAAACUCAUCAAAAUUUUAUGUUCUGAUUCAGGGGGGAAUAUAUCUCAAAUGACUUUCAAACCUUUCUUCAAACAAGGGUAUUAUCUCUUAAAGAUCAUAUCCCUACACUCUUCGGCAAAAUGGGAUUGCUGAAUGAAAGCAUCCACACAUUCUUAAUAUUACUCGCACACUUAUGCUUGAUGCUUCUCUCCCAUCCACUUUCUGAGAUGAAGCAGCAUGGACUAUUGUUUAUCUAAUCAAUAGAUAGUUGUCCCCAAUUCUUAACAAUGAAUAUCCCUAUUUUGGUUUGUUUCAAAAACAACCAAAUUUUGGUAUGCUACAUACAUUUGGGUGUGUCUGCCUUGUUUAUCUUCGUCCAUUAGAAUGAAAUAAUUUUUUUGCACAAGCAACAUGAUGUGGUUUCCUUGGAUAUGCAGCAAAUCAAAAAGGUUUUCGAUAUUAUGAUCCAUGGAUUAAAUGGAUCCAUGUUUCUCAACAUACAAGUUUUUGCGAAAAUCAAUUUUUGUUUGACACUCAUAGAUCUAUAUCUCCUCAAGCUUCUUCUAUUUUGCAUCUUUUUCAUGGCUCUUCUAUAGAUCGUUUUAAGACUAAUUUGAUUUAUAAAUGAAGAGCUCAACCUUCUCCCCUUGCUGACACUUUAAUAGUCCAGGUCCCGACAUUUAGCCCUCUUACUUCUCAUGUUCAAGCACCUAUCCUUCAUCACUCAUCUCGUGUAAGCCGUCCACCUGAUUGUCAUGGUUUUCCAUCUUCUACUACCUACUUGUCUACAUUGUCAUCUAUUUAUGUUUCUCACUCAUAUUCUUAGGCUAUUAAAGAGGAUUGUUGGAAGCAGGCUAUGGAGGAAGAGUUGAAUACUCUAAUAUCUAACAAUACAUGGGAGAUAGUAUUGUCUCCUCCUAAUGUUAGGCCUAUUGGCUACAAAUGGGUUUACACAACGAAACUAAAAUCUAAUGGCACUUUGGAUAGAUACAAGGCUCGAUUGGUGGCCUUAGAAAACCAUCAGAAAUCUGGUAUUGAUUAUCAUGAGACAUUUGCUUUAAUUGCUAAAAUGACUAUGGUCCACACUGCCAUUGCCCUAGCUACCUUGCACAGUUGACCCAUGUAUCAGAUGGAUGUUAAAAAUAUAUUUCUAAAAAGAAGUUUAUAUAAAACCUCCUAAAAGGUUAGAUGUACCUUCCUCUAAUUCUGUUUGUCAUCCACAAUGCUCACUCUAUGAUCUCAAACAAGCUCCAUGAGCUUGGUUUGCCAAAUUCAAAGGCACUAUUCUAGAAAUAGGAUUUAAUUAGACCAAGUUCGAUCCUUCAAUGUUUUCACAGAAAUCUACAUAUGGAAUCAUUAUUCUCCUUGUUUAUGUUGAUGAUAUCCUGAUCAUGAAAAAUGAUAACAGCGGCAUUCAGCACAUUCAAUGGGUUUUAAAGCAAACAUUCCAUAUGAAGGAUCUUGGUCUACUUAGCUACUUUCUUAGAUUGGAGGUCCACCAGACCCCAAAGAGAGUCUUCCUUAAUUAGUAUAAGUAUAUAUAAGAUUUUAUUAAGCUCACCAACAUGACAAAAGCAUCUUCCAUAAAUGCUCCUAUGGAAGUGAACCUCAAACUUCGAAAUCAUGAGGGCAAUCUACUCCUUAAUCUUACUCUUUAUAGGAGAGUUGUUAGUUGUUUAAUCUAUCUCACCUUCACUCGUCCGACAUUUCUUACGCGAUCAAUGUUGUGAGUCAGUUUGUGGCCUCCCCUCGUCACCUUCAUCUAGCCAUUAUUCAUCACAUUAUUUGAUAUCUCAAGAGUACCCCAGAUAAUGGACUCCUUUUUCUCCAAGAUUCAUCAAUGAACUUACGUGCCUUUGGUGAUGCGGACCGGGAUAGCUGUCCCAAUACUGACAAAUUUAAAUUUGGUUGGUGUGUUUAUUUGGAGCAAAGUAUUAUCUCUUAGAAAUGCAAAAAGGAGGAAAGGGUCUCCAAAGUCUCUGUUGAAGCUGAGUACAUAGCUAUGUCUUCAGCAUACUUUGAGAUCGAAUGGUUACAUGAACUUGUUACUGAACUUGGAUUUUCUCAAUCAGCACUUACUCCUUUACAUGGUGAUAAUAUGAGUGCCAUUAAAAUCAUUUGGAAUUUACUUUUUCAUGAAUGAACAAAGCAUAUUGAGCUUGAUUGUCAUUAUAUACAUGAUGCUUAUGAUCGACAACUUAUUUAGCUCCAUAUGUGCCUUCCAAAGAUCAAGUCGCCAACAUAUUUACAAAGAUGCUCUCAUACAAUCUGUUGGAAUAAAUAGAUGAAAAAUAGAUCUAAAAAAAAUGCAAAGAAAAAGAAAGGGAAAGAGCACAUCAGGAUUUAACAUGGUUUGGCAAUGUGCCUACGUCCACGGACGAAAAUGAGCAAUUCCACUACUAAGAUUACAAUGGAGGAGAAGCACUCACAAAAUUUUUCAAGAACCCCGUACACCCAGAAAUUUCUCUCUCAAUAUAUGUAUUUCUGCAAAAUAGAGAAAGAAACAUAUAAAAAGAGGCGCUACGCCGCGAGGUUGUGAACCGCUUGGAGCCUGGGACGUGAACCGCCGCUUAAGAAAUUAAAAGACGUGAACCGCUUCACAUCCUCUUGAAGUGGCAUAAAAAAAUACUGAACCCUAGGCGGCGAAAGAAAGAGUACUUUUAGGACUCUGUUUAAAAAGUAAUGACCGGUUGGGUGUUGACCGGAUCAAAAUAACUAACAAAUCUCCACCUUUUGACUUGAACAACAUAGAUGCACUAUGCACUCCUCAAAGUAAAAUACUUGCAAAUGUAAAAUAGUUGAAAAUACUCAUCUCCACCAAAAUACCCCAAAGGGUAUCCUCAAGUGCUAUAGACACCAACUAAGUGCAAGUAAUGCUUGAACUUAGCAACUGCAAGAGGCUUCAUCAUUAUAUCAGCUGGAUUAUCGAUAGUAUCAAUUUUCUUAACAGUCACUAUGCAUUUUUCAAUCACAUCCCGAACGAAAUGAAACUUCACAUCGAUAUGCUUUGUCCUUUUAUGAAACAUCUGAUCUUUAGACAAAUGAAUAGCACUCUGAUUGUCUGAAUACACAACCAUCGACUCCCGUCUAGAAGUAAACUCUUCAAAUAAGCCUCGUAGCCACAUAGCUUCCUUCACACCCUCUGUCAUAGCGACAUACUCCGUCUCGAUUGUAGACAAGGCCACAAUGGGUUGCAAUGAAGCUUUCCAACUAACUGCACAUCCACCAAUAGAGAAAACAUAACUUGAAAGUGAUCUCCUUCUAUCCAGAUCACCUGCAAAAUUCGAAUCAACAUAUCCAACCACACCAUCCUUACACCUCCCAAACUCCAGACAAGUGCUAGUGGUAUCUCGUAGGUAUCUCAGAAUCCACUUAACAGCCUGCCAAUGAGUCUUACCAGGGUUGGUCAUAUAUCUGCCAACCAUACUCACUUCAUACGAGAUGUCUGGCCGUGUACAAACCGUGACGUACAUAAUGCUCCCAAUAGCACUGGAAUAAGGAACAUGUGAUAUGUAUUCCAAUUCAUCAUUGGACUGUGGUGACAACGUGGCUGAAAGUUUGAAGUGCACCGCAAGGAGAGUGCUCAUCGGCUUUGCAUCUGUCAUCCCAAAAUGUCGAAGAUAUUUUUUUAUGUAUUUCUCACGUGUUAAAUACAAUAGUCCUGCUUUUCUGUCCUUCUUAAUUUCUAUUCCAAGGAUCUUCUUCGUAGCACCUAGAUCUUUUAUUUCAAACUCACUUUUUAGUAAUGCCUUCAACUUAUUUAUCUCAACUAUGUCGCUAGAAGCAAUUAACAUAUCAUCGACAUAGAGCAACAAAUAUAUGAAAGAUCCAUUAGCAAAUUUUUUAAAGUACACACAACUGUCACACUUGCUUCUAGAAUAUCCAUGACCUAUCAUGAAAGAGUCGAACCGCUUGUACCAUACUGAGGAGACUGUUUCAAGCCAUAAAGUGAUUUCUUUAAUAGGCAAACAUGAUCCUCCUUUCCUUCAACAAUGAAUCCCUCCGAUUGUUUCAUAUAAAUUUUCUCCUCAAGUUCUUCAUAUAGAAAGACUGUCUUAAUAUCGAGCUGCUCAAGAUACAGACCAUGCAUGGCUACCAAUGAUAAAAGAACACUAAUAGAAAUAUGCUUAACGAUGGGUGAGAAAAUAUCUUUAAAGUCAACACCUUCUAUCUGACUAUAGCCUUUAGCAACUAAAUGAGCUUUGUACUUUGUAUCUUCCACACCCGAGAUUCCGUCCUUUUUCUUAAAGACCCACUUACAGCCAAUAAUUCUUUUGCCUGUAGGCAGUUUUACCAACUCUCAUGUGCAAUUCUUAUGAAGAGACUCCAUCUCCUCAUUCAUUGCCACUAACCACUCUGCAGAACUGACACUAAAAAUAGCUUGAUUGUAUGUAGAAGGCUCGCCAUCUUCUUCUAUAUCAUGUGCCACCAAAAGAGCAUAAGCAAUCAAAUCCUCAUAGCCAUAUUUCUGUAGUGAUUUGAUCUGUCUCCUCGUUCUAGUUGUAGCAAUACUCUGCCUCUCAACUUGUGGAAUUUCUCUAAUUGAGGUGUUUAAUGACUGAACUUGUUCUGACUGAGAAGAAUUCUAUAACUGAACUAUACCAUCGGUCUCUACCUCCACCUGCUCGCUAGCACUUGAGGUCUUAUCAGAAGAAACAUGAUUAGGAUAUAAUAUAACAAACUCAUCAAAUGUGACAUCCCUGCUAAUAAGUAAUUUAGAUGAUUAUGGAUACCACAGUUUAUAUCCCUUAACCCCCGUUGCAUAACCAAUAAAAAUGCACUUGUUAGCCCUGGAUUCUAACUUACCUUCAUUUACAUGAGCAUAAACAGGACAGUCAAAUAUUCAUAAAUUAGAAUAAUCAGAAGGACUACCAGACCAUACCUCCUUCGGAGUUUUGCAAUCAAGUAUCGACUGUGGAGAUCGAUUUACCAAGUAAUUUGCUGUAGAGAUCGUCUCUGCCCAAAAGCUCUUCGCCAAGCCAGCAUUAGAGGGCAUGCAUCGAGCUCUCUCUAAAAAAGUCCUAUUCAUCCAUUCGGCUACCCCAUUCUACUGUGGAGUAUGCCUAACGGUCUUAUGUCUGACGAUCCCUUCUUGCAGAAUUCCUCAAAUUCUAACAAACAGAAUUUCAAACCAUUGUCGGUUCUCAAUCUCUUGAUCUUCUUUUCAAUUUGCUUCUCAAUCAUAGUCUUUCACUACUUAAAAUAACUGAAUACCUCAUUCUUACUUUUCAAAAAGAACAUCCACACUUUACGAGAAAAAUCAUCGAUAAAAGUCAACAUAUAUCUAGCACCAACGUGAGUAGGAGUACGAGAGGAUCUCCAAAGAUCUGAAUGAAUGUUAGUCCAGAGUACCCUUUGUCCAAUGGACUACGAUCUUAAAAUUGACUCUUUUUUGUUUGCCAAGAACACAGUGUUCGUAGAAGUCCAAUUUUUCAAAACUCUGACCACCAAGUAGACCUCUCUUGGUCAACUCUAUCAUACCACGCUCACUCAUAUGGCCCAGUCGCAUAUGUCAUAGUCUAGUGCUAUCUGAAUCUGACAUAGAGGAAGAAGUCACUACCGCUAAACCUAUCACCGUGGAACCUUGUAGAACAUACAAUGAGUCGGACAACUUGGCCUUCAUUACUAUAAGAUUUUCUUUAGCGACCUUCAUCAAUCCAUCGCCAAAGAAUACCUGAAGCCCUUAGCAUCAAGAGUGCCCAAUGAGAUCAGAUUUUUCUUCAUAUCCGGAACAUGCCGAACCUGUGAUAAAGUCCUCACCACUCUAUCAAACAUUCUCGCAUGAACAAUGCCAGUACCAAUAACUAUACACUUGGCAUUAUUUUUCAUCAUUACAACUCCAUCUUGAAGAGGUUUGUAUGUCGAGAACCACUCUCUAAGAGUACAGAUAUGAUAGGAACAUGCAGAGUCCAUAAGCCACUCAUCUUGUCCAUGUAUCUUAUCUGUAGCUGUGAAGAUGAUGUCGCUACCAUCUGAUUCUCCUGCUACAACACUUGCUUCUACCUCAGUAUUAGUGCUUUUCUGACAUGGAUGCUUGUCAUCGUUCUUCUUCCAUCGUUCUUUAUUUUUUAGCUUGAAACAAUUAGCUUUUAUGUGACCCUUCUUCUUACAAUAACCACAAAUCAGAUUCCUAUACUUUGACUUUGACCUGGAUGUACCUUUAUUAUCAAAACCCUUUUCUUGAGACCUUCCUCUAGCAACCAAACCUUCUCCUGAAGCUUCACCUGUCUCAUUGCUUAUCUGCAUGUCAAUCCUUUCUUUUGAAAGUAGAGAGGACUUAACAUCAUCAAGACACAAUGCAUCUCAUCCAAACAAGAAGGUCAUACAAAAAUUCUUAUAAGAGGGUGGUAAAGAACACAAUAGUAAAAGGCCUCAUUCUCCUCUUCGAUUUUAACAUCUAUCGAGCGGAGAUCCAUAAUAAUAGAAUUAAAUUCAUCUAAAUGUGAUUUAAUAGAGGUGCCUUCUGCCAUACGCAACAUGAAGAGAUGUUGCUUUAAAUACAACUUGUUGGUGAGGGACUUUGUCAUGUAGAGAGACUCCAACUUAAGCCAUAGCCCUACAGCAGUCUUUUCAUCCAGGACCUCAUGCAAUACCUCAUCGAAUAAGCACAACUGUAUUGCCAUAAAAGCUUUCUCAUCAAUCUCCUCCUUAUGCUCUAGCGUCAAUGAAUCGAACAUCUUUUUCUUUCCCAACAGUGCCUUCUACAAUCCCUGCUGCGUCCAUACAGCACGCAUCUUGACUUGCCAUAAUGCAAAGCUGUUGGUCCUGUCUGAUUUUUGGAUCUUGAACUUCAUUGUCAUCUUAAUCCAUCAAGUGAUAGAAUAGCUCUGAUAUCAGUUUGUUGGAAUAAAUUGACAAAAAAUAGAUCCAAAAGAAAAAAAAUGCAAAAAAAAAAUAAAAGAGCACACCAGGAUUUAACGUGGUUCAGCAAUGUGCCUACGUCCACCGGCGAAGAUGAGCAAUUCCACUAUCAAGAUUAUAAUGGAGGAAAAGCACUCACAAAAUUUUCCAAGAACCCCAUACAUCCAAAAAUUUCUCUCUUAAUAUAUGUAUUUCUACAAAAUAGAGAAAAAAAAUAUAAAAGGAGGCACUACGCCAUGAUGUCGUGAACCGCUGGGAGCUUAGGACAUGAAUCGCUGCUUGAGAAGUUUCAAAGACAUGAACCGCUUCAUGUUCUCUUGAAGUGGCAGAAAAAAAAAACAUUGAACCCUAGACAGCGAACGAAAGAGUUCUUUUAGGACUUUGUUUCAAAAGUAAUAACCGAUUGGGUGUUGAUCGAGUCAAAAUAACUAACACAAUCGAUACUGGUCCUUUAGUAACAAAUUGUUACUGGUUGACUCCCCAAUAUCAAUUUGAGAAGGGUGUCAAGGCAAACACGAUUCCUUGAUUGCACGUUAAAAUAUUUCUAAUUGACAGUCAUUUAUUUUUCUAAUUUUUUUAUCUUUAAUUGAUCAAUAUAAAUUAUCAAAUUUUCAGCAUAUUUGUCAAGGAGACAUGAUCUCUGAUUGUAGGCCGGAAUCUCUAAUUGUAGGCUGAAAAUGAUUCUAAUUGAUAGCUUUUUUUUUUUGAUUUUUUGGUCUUUAUUUGACCAAUGUAGAUUAGCAUUA
rnacentral:lncRNA from 1 species